rnacentral:rRNA from 1 species
AACGAACGCUGGCGGCAUGCCUAACACAUGCAAGUCGAACGAGACCUUCGGGUCUAGUGGCGCACGGGUGCGUAACGCGUGGGAACCUGCCCUUAGGUUCGGAAUAACUCCCCGAAAGGGGUGCUAAUACCGGAUAAUGUCUUCGGACCAAAGAUUUAUCGCCUUUGGAUGGGCCCGCGUUGGAUUAGCUAGUUGGUAGGGUAAAAGCCUACCAAGGCGACGAUCCAUAGCUGGUCUGAGAGGAUGAUCAGCCACACUGGGACUGAGACACGGCCCAGACUCCUACGGGAGGCAGCAGUGGGGAAUAGUGGACAAUGGGCGAAAGCCUGAUCCAGCAAUGCCGCGUGAGUGAUGAAGGCCUUAGGGUUGUAAAGCGCUUUUACCCGGGAUGAUAAUGACAGUACCGGGAGAAUAAGCCCCGGCUAACUCCGUG